rnacentral:rRNA from 1 species
CAUCCUAGGACCGGCCCAGAGAUGGGUCUUUCACUUCGGUGACCUAGUGACAGGUGCUGCAUGGCUGUCGUCAGCUCGUGUCGUGAGAUGUUCGGUUAAGUCCGGCAACGAGCGCAACCCACAUCUUUAGUUGCCAGCAGUUCGGCUGGGCACUCUAGAGAAACUGCCCGUGAUAAGCGGGAGGAAGGUGUGGAUGACGUCAAGUCCUCAUGGCCCUUACGGGUUGGGCUACACACGUGCUACAAUGGCAUCUACAGUGGGUUAAUCCCCAAAAGAUGUCUCAGUUCGGAUUGGGGUCUGCAACUCGACCCCAUGAAGUCGGAAUCGCUAGUAAUCGCGUAACAGCAUGACGCGGUGAAUACGUUCCCGGGCCUUGUACACACCGCCCGUCACACCAUGGGAGUUGGUUCUACCUGACGGCCGUGCGCUAACCUCUUUGAGGAGGCAGCGGACCACGGUAGGAUCAGCGACUGGGGUGAAGUCGUAACAAGGUAGCCGUAGGGGAAUCCUGCGGCUGGAUCACGCUCCUU